GAUCCUCAUCCAUAGCUCAGAAAGGUGCAAACUACAGUUGCCCUUCCCUGAUUUGCCUUCCUCUAUUCCUCAUCUACAUCCACAGAGCUAAUCAAGAUAAGUCUGCUGCAGGAAUUUAGCAGAGGAAUUUAUUUAAACGCCAUUUGUGAACUACACUAAGGAAUCGUCAGUAAACCAUGACAAUUAAUAAUGAGAGGAUGCUCGCCUGGAGGACUUCUCCCUAAUGAGGUUUGGUUUUAGACAGGCAUGCUGUUUGGAAGUCAGAUACCAUGUUUCUUGAGAUUUGUAUUUUUCUCCCUAUCUAGCAAGGCUGUGAGAUUUUGUUAAUAAUAAACCACAGUGUCACUAAUGAUUGCAUAUAAUGGGAAAAAGCAUGACCGUGAGCCUACUCGAGGAAAAAGAAUUUUACAUACCA